UUUAUACUCCCUCCGUUCGAAAUUACUCGUCCAAGAAAUGAAUGUAUCUAGAUGUAUUUUAGUUGUAGAUACAUCCAUUUUUAUGGCAAGUAAUUCCAAAUGGAGGGAGUAAUAC
rnacentral:pre_miRNA from 1 species